UACGGAGGAUCCAAGCGUUAUCCGGAAUCAUUGGGUUUAAAGGGUCCGUAGGCGGUUUGGUAAGUCAGUGGUGAAAGCCCAUCGCUCAACGGUGGAACGGCCAUUGAUACUGCCAGACUUGAAUUAUUAGGAAGUAACUAGAAUAUGUAGUGUAGCGGUGAAAUGCUUAGAGAUUACAUGGAAUACCAAUUGCGAAGGCAGGUUACUACUAAUGGAUUGACGCUGAGGUGCGAAAGCGUGGGGAGCAAACAGG
rnacentral:rRNA from 1 species